rnacentral:rRNA from 1 species
AGGCGGAGUGCUUAAUGCGUUAKUGCAGCACUAAGGGGCGGAAACCCCCUAACACUUAGCACUCAUCGUUUACGGCGUGGACUACCAGGGUAUCUAAUCCUGUUCGCUCCCCACGCUUUCGCUCCUCAGCGUCAGUUACAGACCAGAGAGUCGCCUUCGCCACUGGUGUUCCUCCACAUCUCUACGCAUUUCACCGCUACACGUGGAAUUCCACUCUCCUCUUCUGCACUCAAGUUCCCCAGUUUCCAAUGACCCUCCCCGGUUGAGCCGGGGGCUUUCACAUCAGACUUAAGAAACCGCCUGCGAGCCCUUUACGCCCAAUAAUUCCGGACAACGCUUGCCACCUACGUAUUACCGCGGCUGCUGGCACGUAGUUAGCCGUGGCUUUCUGGUUAGGUACCGUCAAGGUACSCCCUAUUCGAACGGUACUUGUUCUUCCCUAACAACAGAGCUUUACGAUCCGAAAACCUUCAUCACUCACGCGGCGUUGCUCCGUCAGACUUUCGUCCAUUGCGGAAGAUUCCCUACUGCUGCCUCCCGUAGAGNUCUGGGCCGUGUCUCAGUCCCAGUGUGGCCGAUCACCCUCUCAGGUCGGCUACGCAUCGUUGCCUUGGUGAGCCGUUACCUCACCAACUAGCUAAUGCGCCGCGGGUCCAUCUGUAAGUGGUAGCCAAAGCACCUUUUA